rnacentral:tRNA from 1 species
GAGUUAUUAGUAUAAGGAGUAUUUUCUUUUUUCGAGAGAGGGGUUUUUAACUUA